rnacentral:rRNA from 1 species
UACGUAGGGGGCUAGCGUUGUCCGGAUUUAUUGGGCGUAAAGAGCGUGUAGGCGGCCAGGUAGGUCUGCUGUGAAAACUCGAGGCUCAACCUCGAGACGGCGGCGGAAACCAUCUGGCUAGAGUCCGGAAGAGGAGAGUGGAAUUCCUGGUGUAGCGGUGAAAUGCGCAGAUAUCAGGAAGAACACCCGUGGCGAAGGCGGCGCGCGGGGACGGGACUGACGCUGAGACGCGAAAGCGUGGGGAGCGAACAGG